rnacentral:lncRNA from 1 species
CCCGCCAUGAUUUAUUACUUUAUUUCAUCGCUCCUGCCUUUGUGCAAACCAGCUGAUUUGUUCAUGAAAAUUUAAAUCAUGUCCAUACUGGAAGCUGAAAUUUCUUUGGGGGGUUGUUAUUUGAGGAUUCCCACCACUGCCCCCCACCAAUAUUUCUUUUUAUGCUAUUCAUGGCAGGUGACAAUUUAUUUUCUUUUCCCUUUUCCUUUUUUUUUUUCUACUCCUUUUUUUUUUUUUUUUUUAAUAAAAACCAUCUAACUGGAAGAGCACCAGGCCUAUGUUGCUUAUUUGUAUUGUUUGAUGCCAAUGGCAGAUUAAGUAGCCAUCUAUUAGAAACAGCCUCAGAAAGUCCCAGGUCCAGGAGACAAAUGUUCUGCUCAGCCCUGGUCAUGGAUUGUUCCUGUGUGAACUGUAUCCCCAGCAGGAAAUCAGUUCUGAGAACAAACAGGCAAGUAAACAGGCUGAGGAAUUGUGCUGUUCACUUGCAUCUCUGGGACUUUAGUCAAUGGAGCAUCAGACCCAAGCAGGCUUUACUGUGUUUACCUCCUGGACUUGAUGCCCAAGAGUGGCACUGCCGUGUACCUGGCAGUGUGCCAGGGGGCCACGGGGACGUGGGCGGAGUCUGCAUUCUCGGGGACCAAAGGCAGGUGGGGGUAAGAGCUGCAACAAUCUUCGCUGUGAUCAAAGGAAGCAGAGCAGAUCCUUUCCCUCUGAGAGAGUCUGGGGUGCCUGCCUGGAGGAGGUGCCGCUUGAACUGCUCAAAAGUAGGUAACUCACAUUUUAGCUGGAUCAGGCCGCUAAACGUUUGUCCCAACUGCCACAAGAAUGAAACCUCGAGGAAAGGAACAGUGGGUGGUUUCCUAAUGAGCCCAUUUCCUGUACAUCACCGGGCUUCAUCCCCAUGACCUUGGACUUGUUCUGACAUCUAAACGAGGACCCUGAGACACAGAAAGGAUUGAAACAUACCCCAGGAUCUUCAUGAAGGGGCACAGGUCAGGAUUUGAACCCUAGCAGUUUUAGCAGGGGCCUUGCUGUAGCAGAUAACUGGUUCAGGGAG